GGGGCGGAAGCCUGAUGCAGCGACGCCGCGUGAGGGAUGACGGCCUUCGGGUUGUAAACCUCUUUCAGCAGGGAAGAAGCGUGAGUGACGGUACCUGCAGAAGAAGCGCCGGCUAACUACGUGCCAGCAGCCGCGGUAAUACGUAGGGCGCAAGCGUUGUCCGGAAUUAUUGGGCGUAAAGAGCUCGUAGGCGGUUUGUCACGUCGGGUGUGAAAGCCCGGGGCUUAACCCCGGGUCUGCAUUCGAUACGGGCAGACUGGAGUGUGGUAGGGGAGAUCGGAAUUCCUGGUGUAGCGGUGAAAUGCGCAGAUAUCAGGAGGAACACCGGUGGCGAAGGCGGAUCUCUGGGCCAUUACUGACGCUGAGGAGCGAAAGCGUGGGGAGCGAACAGGAUUAGAUACCCUGGUAGUCCACGCCGUAAACGUUGGGAACUAGGUGUUGGCGACAUUCCACGUCGUCGGUGCCGCAGCUAACGCAUUAAGUUCCCCGCCUGGGGAGUACGGCCGCAAGGCUAAAACUCAAAGGAAUUGACGGGGGCCCGCACAAGCAGCGGAGCAUGUGGCUUAAUUCGACGCAACGCGAAGAACCUUACCAAGGCUUGACAUACACCGGAAAACCCUGGAGACAGGGUCCCCCUUUGUGGUCGGUG
rnacentral:rRNA from 1 species